CCUACGGGCGGCAGCAGUGAGGAAUAUUGGUCAAUGGUCGGGAGCCUGAACCAGCCAAGCCGCGUGAGGGAAGAAGGUACAGCGUAUCGUAAACCUCUUUUGUCAGGGAACAAAGGCGGGGACGUGUCCCCGGAUGAGUGUACCUGAAGAAAAAGCAUCGGCUAACUCCGUGCCAGCAGCCGCGGUAAUCCGGGGGAUGCGAGCGUUAUCCGGAUUUAUUGGGUUUAAAGGGUGCGCAGGCGGUCUGUUAAGUCAGCGGUCAAAGCCCGGGGCUCAACCCCGGCCCGCCGUUGAAACUGGCAGUCUGGAGUUGGAGAGAAGUAUGCGGAAUGCGCGGUGUAGCGGUGAAAUGCAUAGAUAUCGCGCAGAACUCCGAUUGCGAAGGCAGCAUGCCGGCUCCACACUGACGCUGAGGCACGAAAGCGUGGGUAUCGAACAGGAUUAGAUACCCGAGUAGUC
rnacentral:rRNA from 1 species